GACGAACGCUGGCGGCGUGCAUAACACAUGCAAGUCGAACGAUGAAGCCCAGCUUGCUGGGCGGAUUAGUGGCGAACGGGUGAGUAACACGCGUCUGAUCUGCCCUGCACUUCGGGAUUAGCAUGGGGCACGGUGUCUACUACCUGAUAGAACCUCGGGAUGCGUGUUCUGGUGUGGAUAGGUUUUCCGGUGCAGGAUGGGCCCGAGGCCUAUCAGCUUGUUGUUGGGGUAACGGCCCACCAAGCGAGGACGGGUAGCCGGCCUGAGAGGGCGACCGGCCACACUGGGACUGAGACACGGCCCAGACUCCUACGGGAGGCAGCAGUGGGGAAUAUUGCCAAAUGGGCGCAAGCCUGAUGCAGCGACGCCGCGUGAGGGAUGACGGCCUUCGGGUUGUAAACCUCUUUCAGUACCGACGAAGCGCAAGUGACGGUAGGUACAGAAGAAGCACCGGCCAACUACGUGCCAGCAGCCGCAGUAAAAC
rnacentral:rRNA from 1 species